UACGUAGGGUGCGAGCGUUGUCCGGAAUUACUGGGCGUAAAGAGCUCGUAGGUGGUUUGUCGCGUUGUCCGUGAAAACUCACAACUCAAUUGUGGGCGUGCGGGCGAUACGGGCAGACUGGAGUACUGCAGGGGAGACUGGAAUUCCUGGUGUAGCGGUGGAAUGCGCAGAUAUCAGGAGGAACACCGGUGGCGAAGGCGGCUCUCUGGGCCUUACCUGACGCUGAGGAGCGAAAGCGUGGGUAGCGAACAGG
rnacentral:rRNA from 1 species